GCGGAUGAAAAUUACUUCCUCCUUUUCAUAAUGUAAGUCAUUUUAGCAUUUUCCACAUUCAUAUAGAUAUUAAUGAAUCUAGAUAGAUUAACAUCAAUAUGAAUGUGGGAAAUGCUAGAAUGACUUACAUUGUGAAACAG
rnacentral:misc_RNA from 1 species